rnacentral:rRNA from 1 species
GAUGAACGCUGGCGGCGUGCCUAAUACAUGCAAGUCGAGCGAACGGACGAGAAGCUUGCUUCUCUGAUGUUAGCGGCGGAAGGGUGAGUAACACGUGGAUAACCUACCUAUAAGACUGGGAUAACUUCGGGAAACCGGAGCUAAUACCGGAUAAUAUUUUGAACCGCAUGGUUCAAAAGUGAAAGACGGUCUUGCUGUCACUUAUAGAUGGAUCCGCGCUGCAUUAGCUAGUUGGUAAGGUAACGGCUUACCAAGGAAACGAUGUAUAGCCGACCUGGGAGGGGGACGGGCCACCCGGAACCUGAGACCGGUCCCAGCUCCUACGGGGGGCAGACGGAGGGAAUUUUCCCAAAUGGGGGAAAGCCGUACGGGGGAAGCCCCGGUGGGGGAUGGAGGUUUUCGGUUCGUAAAACCUUUUUAUUAGGGAAGAACAUAUGUGUAAGUAACUGUGCACAUCUUGACGGUACCUAAUCAGAAAGCCACGGCUAACUACGUG